AUGUCGCGGGUGGACAAGGAGAAGUCGGUGAACGUCCAGGUCCUCCUCCGCUGCAGGCCGUUCAGCGACGACGAGCUCCGGAGCAACGCGCCGCAGGUGGUCACCUGCAACGACUACCAGCGGGAGGUCGCCGUCACGCAGACCAUCGCCGGGAAGCAGAUCGACAGGGUCUUCACGUUCGACAAGGUUUUCGGCCCAACAGCUAGGCAGAGAGACUUGUAUGAUCAAGCCAUCAUUCCUAUCGUGAACGAGGUGCUGGAAGGGUUUAAUUGCACCAUCUUUGCUUAUGGCCAGACGGGCACGGGGAAGACUUAUACCAUGGAAGGAGAAUGCCGGAGAGCUAAGAGUGGACCGGAGGGACAGUUACCUUCAGAUGCUGGGGUCAUACCUAGGGCCGUCAAGCAGAUAUUUGAUACAUUGGAGAGGCAGAAUACUGAGUACAGUGUGAAGGUCACAUUUUUGGAACUGUACAAUGAGGAAAUAACAGAUCUUCUUGCACCAGAGGAGAUAUCUAAGGUUGCUCUGGAAGAACGGCAGAAAAAGCCAUUGCCACUCAUGGAGGACGGGAAAGGUGGGGUGCUUGUGAGAGGUUUGGAGGAAGAAAUAGUCACUAAUUGUAGCGAAAUAUUCUCUCUUUUGGAAAGAGGAUCUGCGAAGCGCCGCACAGCAGAGACUCUUUUGAACAAGCAAUCAAGUCGUUCGCACUCGCUUUUCUCAAUUACAAUUCACAUAAAAGAGGCAACCCCUGAAGGAGAAGAACUGAUAAAAUGUGGGAAGUUAAAUCUGGUUGAUCUGGCUGGGUCUGAGAACAUCUGUCGUUCUGGAGCUAGGGAGGGCCGAGCAAGAGAGGCUGGUGAAAUAAACAAAAGUUUGCUUACUUUAGGCCGUGUUAUCACGGCAUUGGUUGAGCACCUUGGACAUGUUCCUUACAGAGACAGUAAGCUCACAAGGUUGCUUCGUGAUUCACUUGGAGGGAGAACAAAAACUUGCAUUAUUGCUACUGUUUCGCCUUCUGUACACUGUCUUGAGGAGACAUUAAGCACAUUGGAUUAUGCACACCGGGCAAAGAGCAUAAAAAACAGGCCCGAGGUUAACCAAAAAAUGAUGAAAUCAACGUUAAUCAAGGAUCUCUAUGGAGAAAUCGACCGACUGAAAGCAGAGGUCUAUGCUGCACGUGAAAAGGUUGGGGUGUACAUUCCAAAAGAUAGAUACCAGCUGGAGGAGAACGAGAGGAAGGCCAUGGCUGAUCAAAUUGAGCAAAUGACUGCCUCUUUAGAAACAAAUCAGAAGCAAAUCAAUGACCUGCAAGAAAAGUACGAUUCUGAGCUCCAACAUUCUGCUGAUUUGAGCAAAAAGCUCAAAGCCACAGAGAAAUGUCUGGACCAUACAAGCAACCUACUCUCAACAACAAAAGAGGAUUUGAAACAGGCCCAUUAUAAUCUCAAGGAGAAAGAAUUCAUUAUAUCUGAGCAGAAAAAAGCAGAAAAUGCUCUAGCACAUCAAGCCUGUGUUCUGAGAUCAGAACUUGAAAAAUCUAGCCGUGAUAAUGCUUCACUGCAUUCAAAAAUAGCCAGAGGAGAUAAACUAAGUGCUGCAAAUAGGUCGGUGGUGAACUCAUUCCAAGCUGACCUUGCUUCAAAGUUGGAUAUUCUCUCCAGUACCCUCACUGCAUCUAUAGAUCAACAAAACAAACACCUAAAGGCUGUGGAAGACCUAUGCCAAUCUUGCGUUGAUUCCCAUGACACGGCUACAUUGGAGAUAAAGAAGAAGAUCUUAGCUUCGAAGUCGUUAUAUAUGUCGCACAUGGAAGCUUUUCAAAAUAUUGUGCUCCUACAUAAAGCAAACACAAAUUCUACAUUGGAGGAUGUAUCAUCUCUGUCUGCAGCAAGCUGUUGCAGUCUUGACCAGCUUCUAGCAUGUGUUGAGGGAGAGGCACUGAAGAUAUUUACUGAUAUUCAGAGUUUGUUAGCCGACCAUCGAAGCGAACUGGCACACUUCACUAAGGAAUUGCGUGAUAGUUUCUGCAUUAGCUUGGAUAGGACGAAGGAUAUGUCCAGCUUCAUUCUUGGGCUCUUUGAAAAGUACAUGGAGGAAACAUCCAAGUUGCAGGACCACUCGAACCACACUCAUGAAGCACAGGUCAAAAGCCUUGAAGAGUUUCAAAAGGCUUAUGAGGAACAAUCAAAGUCCGAGGAACAGAGGCUUCUGGCGGAUAUCACCAGUUUGGUGUCCAAACACAUUGUUCGACAAAGAGAGCUGGUGGAUGUUAGAUUAAACUCUCUUGGCGAUGCUGCUCGUGGUAACAAGACAUUUCUGGAUGAGCAUACGUCUGCUAUGGAGGGUGUCACAAAGGAUGCCAAGAGAAAGUGGGAAAUGUUUGCAGAGCAAGCAGAGAAUGACUGCAAAGUUGGCUCCAGCUUCUCUUCAGCUAAGCAUUGCCGCAUGGAAACAAUUAUGCAGGAGUGUGCAUGCACUGUCGACUCUGCUGCACAACAAUGGAAAAAAUCCCAUGCUGCAGUUAAUGAUUUGUGCACAAAACAAGUGGCUGAAGUUGAAGUACUUGUCAGGGUUGCAAUCGAAAACAACGAGCAGCAUGAAGCAGAGAUUGCAUCAUCUCGCGCCUUGGCUGAAGAGCAAGCAUCCAACGGUAGCAAAGAAAUACUCCAGGAUAUCGACAAUCUACUGGAAGAGGCACGUAAUUCUGCAUCAAGAGUUGUGUCGACAGUGGAAGCACAUUCGGUAGAGAUACAGCAUUUGCAGGAGAACCACUCUGGGCAGACUUCAGGCGUCAACACACAUGCCGAGAGGGCUUUCCAAAGCAGCUACAGGGACUAUGAGCCGACUGGCGAAACUCCGAUGAGGUCUGAGCCGGAAGUCCCGAGCAAAGGCACUAUCGAGUCGUUGCGAGCGAUGCCAAUUGAGUCCCUGAUGGAUGAGUUCCGCGAGAACCAUCCCUAUGAAUCGAGCAAGGAGCCCAAGCCGUCGCUCAUCCCUCGCUCGCCACUCGCGACACUCAACUGA
rnacentral:rRNA from 1 species